rnacentral:rRNA from 1 species
UGGGGAAUAUUGGACAAUGGGCGAAAGCCUGAUCCAGCCAUUCCGCGUGAGUGAAGAAGGCCUUCGGGUUGUAAAGCUCUUUCGGCAGGGAAGAAACGGCCGCCCCUAAUACGGGUGGUUAAUGACGGUACCUGAAGAAGAAGCACCGGCUAACUACGUGCCAGCAGCCGCGGUAAUACAGAGGGGGCAAGCGUUGUCCGGAUUUACUGGGCGUACAGCGCGCGCAGGCGGCCGUGUAUGUGACCGGUGACAUCCUCGGGCUCAACCCGAGGCGGCCCGGUUAGACAGCGUAGCUGGAGGCAGGGAGAGGGAUGUGGAAUACCCGGUGGAGCGGUGAAAUGCGUAGAGAUCGGGUGGAACACCAGCGGCGAAGGCGGCAUCCUGGCCCUGACCUGACGCUGAGGCGCGAUAGCGUGGGGAGCAAA